CUAGACGCGGUCGAGAGAGAAUUGCACAAAAACAACCAAAGAAAAAAGAACAACAACAACAAAAAAUAAUGAUUAAAGAAAGAAAGAAAGAAAGAAAGAAAGACAAAAUAAAAUAAUAAAGAAAAUAAGAAAAUAAAGAGAGAAAUUAAAGAAAAUAGAGCAAGAUGAUUUUUCUCACUUUUUUCGUCUAUCUUUAUCUUGAAGGCUCAGUAGCAGGAGUAGCAGCAACCAAAACUACCACUACAACCACUACUACUGCAAUCCCUGGUGGUGGUGGUGGGGGGGCAUACCCUGGUGGUGGCGGCGGACACUACAUUGGUGGCAGCGGUGGGAUACACAGCAUACAUGGGGGCAGCGGUUACUGGAUCGGAAAGCCUCAACCGUACUUCGCUGCCCUGCCAACCAACUUAACCAUCGUCUCAACCAACUCGGCCAUGCUCACCUGCCGUGUACACAUGCUGGGUGACCGUUCGGUAACUUGGAUGCGUCUUAAGGACCUUCACAUCCUAACCGUCGGGCAGGUGACAUAUACAGCAGACGACCGCUUCCAGGUGCACCACGAGGCCUCCACGGGGGACUGGACGCUACAGGUGAGGCGCGCCCAGGUGACGGACUCCGGGGCCUACGUCUGCCAGGUGAACGCCUCCCCCAAGAUUGUGCGGCGGGUGUACCUGACCGUGACGGACAAAGAAAUGCUGGAAAGUCUUUUGAAGCAACCAUCUCUACAUCCAGACACACAGACACACACACACAUACCAGGAAACACACAUAGAUAUAUACAGGAAGGCUCCUCUCUCUCCCUCUCCUGCUUGGUCAAACAUCCCCCCCUGGCUCCCCCCCCGACGAUCGCUUGGUACCGGGGGGCGACGCUCCUGCUCUAUUCCACCCCCGGGGCACGCCUAUCCCUGCAGGUGGAGAGGGAGAGAGAGAGGACCACAUCACACCUGUCCCUUCACGCCCUCGAAUCAGGUGACUCGGGCGUGUACACCUGCAUACCUGUGGGCGGGGCCGGUGCAUCCGUUCACGUACACGUCACACACGACGAGAGAAGUUCGGCAGUGCAGUGGGAGGGGGUCAGUGGGGGGGUGAGGAGGGGGGAGGGAGGGGGAGGGGCUUUCCUCCUCCCCCUUCUCCUCUUCCUCCUCCUCCUCUUCCUCCAGCCUCCUCCUCCUCCUCCUCUUCAUCUUCUCUCCAUCUUCUCCACUCCAAGUCGCUCCUAGCAUUUUAAAGUCUUCCCUUGGAGGUGGAAGAGGAAGGAGGUGGAAGAGGAAGAAGGAGGAAGAGGAGGAAGAAGGAAGGAAGAAGUGGAUUAGAUAAGAACGAUCAAGAGGAAGAAGAAGAAGAAGAGGAGGAAGAGGAAGAGGAGGAAGAGGGAAUAAAGGCCAGGCUGGCGUGGUGAUGGCCUGCGUGUGUUGCCUGGCAGGAGCCGCCCAGUGGACAACACACACCAGAGUGCUGAGGGAAGGCCAGCCACCAGUGAGGCUCAGCACUGAGAACCAGCAUCACCCCCACAGAAGGCCUGCCAUGGAUCUGGUGUUUGUGUGUUUGCAUGUUUAGUCACCCAGCCUCCCGGACAGACUGUGCUGGGGGACACGUGACCACUGCUCUGCCCUCCAGGAUAAGGAUUCCCCCAGACUGAGCCGCUGGUGGGGGGGGCACGUCAGCGCUGGCAUGUGGACGCAGCGGUCACCCACACGGCCUCAAGGCUCUGCAGCAGCCCUGGCCUAGACCCAAUGGGCAUCUCAUCACCCACGAGGCCACGGGUCUCUGUUUGCUGUGUACAGGCUCAUGUAAUAAAGAACAGGCACUCCA